rnacentral:rRNA from 1 species
AUUGAACGCUGGCGUCAGGCUUAACACAUGCAAGUCGAACGGUAACAUAAAGAAGCUUGCUUCUUUGAUGACGAGUGGCGGACGGGUGAGUAAUGCUUGGGAAUCUAGCUUAUGGAGGGGGAUAACUACGGGAAACUGUAGCUAAUACCGCGUAAUAUCGAAAGAUUAAAGUGUGGGACCUUCGGGCCACAUGCCAUAGGAUGAGCCCAAGUGGGAUUAGGUAGUUGGUGAGGUAAAGGCUCACCAAGCCGACGAUCUCUAGCUGGUCUGAGAGGAUGACCAGCCACACUGGGACUGAGACACGGCCCAGACUCCUACGGGAGGCAGCAGUGGGGAAUAUUGCGCAAUGGGGGCAACCCUGACGCAGCCAUGCCGCGUGAAUGAAGAAGGCCUUCGGGUUGUAAAGUUCUUUCGGUAGCGAGGAGAGCAUUUAGUUUAAUAGACUAGGUGAUUGACGUUAACUACAGAA